CAGUAGCCGCGGUAAUGCGUAGGUGGCAAGCGUUGUCCGGAAUUAUUGGGCGUAAAGGGCUCGCAGGCGGCUUCUUAAGUCUGAUGUGAAAGCCCCCGGCUCAACCGGGGAGGGUCAUUGGAAACUGGGAAACUUGAGUGCAGAAGAGGAGAGUGGAAUUCCACGUGUAGCGGUGAAAUGCGUAGAGAUGUGGAGGAACACCAGUGGCGAAGGCGACUCUCUGGUCUGUAACUGACGCUGAGGCACGAAAGCGUGGGGAGCAAACAGGAUUAGAUACCCGCGUAGUCCCUGUCUCUUAUAC
rnacentral:rRNA from 1 species